GGGGGGCCUCACCUGUUCCCCUGAGGACCCCGCCGGACCCGGAGGCUCACAGGGAACAAGACACGGCUGGGUUGGAUAUGCCUUUGCCGGGGUUCUGGGGCAGGGCGCUCCCUGGCCGCAGCAGAUGCCCUCCCAGGAGUGGAGGGGCUGGAGAGGGGAAGGCCUUCGGGAAGAGGCUUCCUGGGCCCCCUGGUCUUCGGCCGGGUCCCCAGCCCCCG
rnacentral:lncRNA from 1 species